rnacentral:rRNA from 1 species
GACGAACGCUGGCGGCGUGCUUAACACAUGCAAGUCGAACGGAAAGGCCUCUUUCGGGGGGUACUCGAGUGGCGAACGGGUGAGUAACACGUGAGUAACCUGCCCUUGACUUUGGGAUAACUUCAGGAAACUGGGGCGAAUACCGGAUAGGAGCUCCUGCUGCAUGGUGGGGGUUGGAAAGUUUCGGCGGUUGGGGAUGGACUCGCGGCUUAUCAGCUUGUUGGUGGGGUAGUGGCUUACCAAGGCUUUGACGGGUAGCCGGCCUGAGAGGGUGACCGGCCACAUUGGGACUGAGAGACGGCCCAGACUCCUACGGGAGGCAGCAGUGGGGAAUAUUGCACAAUGGGUGGAAGCCUGAUGCAGCAACGCCGUGUGCGGGAUGACGGCCUUCGGGUUGUAAACCGCUUUCGCUCAUGACGAAGCUUUGUGUGACGGUAGUGGGUAAAGAAGCACCGGCUAACUACGUG